rnacentral:rRNA from 1 species
UGUCGGCGUGCCUAAUACAUGCAAGUAGAACGCUGAAGAGAGGAGCUUGCUCUUCUUGGAUGAGUUGCGAACGGGUGAGUAACGCGUAGGUAACCUGCCUUGUAGCGGGGGAUAACUAUUGGAAACGAUAGCUAAUACCGCAUAACAAUGGAUGACACAUGUCAUUUAUUUGAAAGGGGCAAUUGCUCCACUACAAGAUGGACCUGCGUUGUAUUAGCUAGUAGGUGAGGUAACGGCUCACCUAGGCGACGAUACAUAGCCGACCUGAGAGGGUGAUCGGCCACACUGGGACUGAGACACGGCCCAGACUCCUACGGGAGGCAGCAGUAGGGAAUCUUCGGCAAUGGGGGCAACCCUGACCGAGCAACGCCGCGUGAGUGAAGAAGGUUUUCGGAUCGUAAAGCUCUGUUGUAAGUCAAGAACGAGUGUGAGAGUGGAAAGUUCACACUGUGACGGUAGCUUACCAGAAAGGGACGGCUAACUACGUGCCAGCAGCCGCGGUAAUACGUAGGUCCCGAGCGUUGUCCGGAUUUAUUGGGCGUAAAGCGAGCGCAGGCGGUUUGAUAAGUCUGAAGUUAAAGGCUGUGGCUCAACCAUAGUUCGCUUUGGAAACUGUCAAACUUGAGUGCAGAAGGGGAGAGUGGAAUUCCAUGUGUAGCGGUGAAAUGCGUAGAUAUAUGGAGGAACACCGGUGGCGAAAGCGGCUCUCUGGUCUGUAACUGACGCUGAGGCUCGAAAGCGUGGGGAGCGAACAGGAUUAGAUACCCUGGUAGUCCACGCCGUAAACGAUGAGUGCUAGGUGUUGGAUCCUUUCCGGGAUUCAGUGCCGCAGCUAACGCAUUAAGCACUCCGCCUGGGGAGUACGACCGCAAGGUUGAAACUCAAAGGAAUUGACGGGGGCCCGCACAAGCGGUGGAGCAUGUGGUUUAAUUCGAAGCAACGCGAAGAACCUUACCAGGUCUUGACAUCCCGAUGCUAUUUCUAGAGAUAGAAAGUUACUUCGGUACAUCGGUGACAGGUGGUGCAUGGUUGUCGUCAGCUCGUGUCGUGAGAUGUUGGGUUAAGUCCCGCAACGAGCGCAACCCCUAUUGUUAGUUGCCAUCAUUCAGUUGGGCACUCUAGCGAGACUGCCGGUAAUAAACCGGAGGAAGGUGGGGAUGACGUCAAAUCAUCAUGCCCCUUAUGACCUGGGCUACACACGUGCUACAAUGGUUGGUACAACGAGUUGCGAGUCGGUGACGGCAAGCUAAUCUCUUAAAGCCAAUCUCAGUUCGGAUUGUAGGCUGCAACUCGCCUACAUGAAGUCGGAAUCGCUAGUAAUCGCGGAUCAGCACGCCGCGGUGAAUACGUUCCCGGGCCUUGUACACACCGCCCGUCACACCACGAGAGUUUGUAACACCCGAAGUCGGUGAGGUAACCUUUUGGAGCCAGCCGCCUAAGGUGGGAUAGAUGAUUGGGGUG